rnacentral:rRNA from 1 species
AUGGGCAGUGCCUACACUGUGGGAGUGCCCGCGCUACCGUUCUUGCCUUGGCUGCACAUGCCUCCUCCGCCGCCUUUUCCGAUGGCGCUGUACUACAACCCAGCCCUCAAGCCGCCGCUGCCGGCGACACGCUGCAGCAUCACGGAGAUCGUAGAAGACGGCGACGUCGAGCCCCCGACGGCAGAGGUGGAAGACGGCCCCUCCCCUCGCUCGGUCCUCGCGGUCUGGAGGAGGAGCGCGGCGCUUCCGCCUCCGUCUUCCGGCGUCGCAGGCAGCAAACCAGCCUUCGACGGAAGAAGCAAGAAGACAUCCGUCAUGAUCUGCAACAUCCCCAAUAGCUUCUUGAAACGGAGGUUGAUGGCCAUCUUGGACCAGCAUUGCGCGGAGGAGAACAAGCUUCGAUGUCGCCCCCGAGGCGGCGGCGGCGCCGUCGCGAAGUCGGAGUACGACUUCCUAUACCUUCCAAUCGAUUUUAGAGGCUACGCGUUCGUCAACAUGACGACGCCGGCAGCCACACGGCGGCUCUACGCGUUCCUCCACGGCCACCGCUGGGCGGGCUCCGCCAAGGUCUGCGAGGUCGUGCACGCCCACAUCCAGGGAGUGGACGCGCUGGCGGCGCACUUCUCCCGCUCGCUAUUCCCAUGUGGCAACAACAAGGAGUUCCUGCCGGUGCGCUUCGGGCCUCCCAGGGACGGCCUCCGGCAGACGGCGGAGCGCACCAUCGGCUGUGCGGUGGUCCGUCGUCGCCUCCGCUGA